UCACACCUGGCCACUCACGGCCUAACACCCUCCCCCUAUGUGUAUAUAUAUAUAUAAGCACACAAACCAUUCUUGAUCAUCCCAAUAUCGAUUCCUCUUCCAAACCCGUAACUUUUUAUAGUUUUUAUAUAAUAACUCAAGGUGGUAUUCGGGUCAGCUGACUCGUGUCGGGACGGUCAAGCAACCUGUGAUGGACGACGACUCAAAAGAUAAGCGGAGAUUUAAGGUGUUUUAUUACGAGGAGAAAAGCGGGGAGACGGAUCAGGAGAGCGUGGGAUCUUCGGAGGAGGCGGAGUCGCCGAGAUCGGUGGCGAGGAUGGGGAGGUGGGCGGCGAAGAAGAUUGCGCACGUGCAUAGCCAGAUUUUGAGGAUCAGGGAGGAGGAUUCGCAUAUAGGUGAGGAUUUAGGCGAGGGGUGUCCGCCUAUAGUGGAUGUCGUGAUCUUCUCCAAGCCCAUCUUGCCUGCCUCGCCUCUCAGCGGCAGAGGUGUACACUGAGUCCAUCGAGGAGGAGACUGAAGCAGAUUUUUUCAAGGGAGAAAGAGGAAAGCAGCCAGAGAUUUGGUAGAGGAAGUUUGACCAGUUGGAGAAUUAGGUUAUUAUUAGGUCUUUUUAGUUUCCUUCUUUCUUAGCAUUAGACUGAUGAUGACAAGGACAUGGAGAGAGGGUCAUGUGUAGUUGCUGUGCUGUACAGUCAGGAUGGAAACAGCUUAGACGAUUGAGGACGGACCGAGGGGCGGAUGAGCCCAGGACGCCCUAUCCAUGUUUCAAAUUUUCACUAGAAUUAUGGACUAGUAGUUUUUAGCUACGAAAAACUAAA